GUUCUGGUAACUGUCUGCGAUCUCCAUAUGUUAACUGUUUGCGAAGACGGAAAUGCAAAUUCAAAAGAUAUACGGAUGAUUAUAUGGGUGCGUGGCAAGUAUACUGCAAUGAUGAUGAUGAUGUUCCCGGUUCACGAUGGAGACGAUGAUGGCUGUUCUCAGUUUUAGUUUAGUUGUAGGGAUGCUUUUCCUGUUGGAUGAUGUUCCUCGGUUAAGUUUUAGUUUAAGUUGUAGGGAUGUUGAUGGAUGAUUUUAGUUUAAGUUUUGCUGUCAAGAGAAUAUUCAGGUUAUGCAUCACAUUUGGAUGGUAUUCCUCCUGUAAUAUCAACUAUUGUAAUCCCACAGUUUUUUUCAAUAUAUGAUUUCUUCC